rnacentral:rRNA from 1 species
GACGAACGCUGGCGGCGCGCCUAACACAUGCAAGUCGAACGGAGUCAAGAGGAGCUUGCUUUUCUUGACUUAGUGGCGAACGGGUGAGUAACGCGUGAGUAACCUGCCCUGGAGUGGGGGACAACAGUUGGAAACGACUGCUAAUACCGCAUAAGCCCACGGCCUGGCAUCGGGCUAAGGGAAAAGGAUUUAUUCGCUUCAGGAUGGACUCGCGUCCAAUUAGCUAGUUGGUGAGGUAACGGCCCACCAAGGCGACGAUUGGUAGCCGGACUGAGAGGUGGAACGGCCACAUUGGGACUGAGACACGGCCCAGACUCCUACGGGAGGCAGCAGUGGGGGAUAUUGCACAAUGGGGGAAACCCUGAUGCAGCGACGCCGCGUGGAGGAAGAAGGUUUUCGGAUUGUAAACUCCUGUCGUUAGGGACGAUAAUGACGGUACCUAACAAGAAAGCACCGGCUAACUACGUGCCAGCCGCCGCCGUAA